rnacentral:misc_RNA from 1 species
UUCCAUGAAGUAAGACGUGUACUUUUUUUUGGUGAUUUUGUUGAAUCCAAGCUUAGCACCAGGACCAGGGAGCCAUAUAUGAGUUGGAUGAUCAAAACUCUGCCACAGCAGUGGGUCUGAUGAACUAGGCCCAUCUCUCAAAACAAGAUUUCCUUCAUCGAGAAGUACUGCUUCCAAAGAGCUUGAAUUUGUAGAGGUCAAAUUUGUUGACCAUAUCAUAAUACCGGAUUCAUUAAAGAGAACUAAAUUACCAUUUGAUAUUCU